rnacentral:rRNA from 1 species
UACGGAGGGUGCAAACGUUGCUCGGAAUCAUUGGGCGUAAAGCGCACGUAGGCGGCCUGUUAAGUCGGGUGUGAAAUCCCUGGGCUCAACCCAGGAACUGCGUCCGAUACUGGAAGGCUUGAAUCCGGGAGAGGGAUGCGGAAUUCCAGGUGUAGCGGUGAAAUGCGUAGAUAUCUGGAGGAACACCGGUGGCGAAGGCGGCAUCCUGGACCGGUAUUGACGCUGAGGCGCGAAAGCCAGGGGAGCAAACGGG